AGAGUUUGAUCAUGGCUCAGGAUGAACGCUGGCGGCGUGCUUAACACAUGCAAGUCGAACGAAGCAAUUUGACGGAAGUUUUCGGAUGGAAGCCAAAUUGACUGAGUGGCGGACGGGUGAGUAACGCGUGGGUAACCUGCCUCAUACAGGGGGAUAACAGUUAGAAAUGACUGCUAAUACCGCAUAAGCGCACGGAGACGCAUGUUUCUGUGUGAAAAACUCCGGUGGUAUGAGAUGGACCUGCGUCUGAUUAGCUAGUUGGUGAGGUAACGGCCCAUCUAGGCGACGAUCAGUAGCCGG
rnacentral:rRNA from 1 species